UACGGGGGGAGCAAGCGUUGUUCGGAUUUACUGGGCGUAAAGGGCGCGUAGGCGGUCAGCACAAGUCAGUUGUGAAAUCUCCGGGCUUAACUCGGAAAGGUCAACUGAUACUGUGCGACUAGAGUGCGGAAGGGCAACUGGAAUUCUUGGUGUAGCGGUGAAAUGCGUAGAUAUCAAGAGGAACACCUGCGGCGAAGGCGGGUUGCUGGGCCGACACUGACGCUGAGGCGCGAAAGCCAGGGGAGCGAACGGG
rnacentral:rRNA from 1 species